UUGCUUUCUUCGGCAGCAAAUAUACUGAAAUUAGAAUGAGGCAGAGUAGAUUAUCAUGGCCCCUGUGCAAGGAUGACAUGUAAAUUCAUGAAGCAUUCCAUAUUUGU
ensembl:snRNA U6 U6 spliceosomal RNA